AUAAAAGUCUAUUCGCAUUGGCCGAAAGCUUAAUUGAACUAUCAAAGAUAGUGGGGACCGUUUUAAGCAAACUGGAAUCGCUCGGGUAUCCUUGACAAACUCGAUGAGCUUUAUGAUUUAGCUAAUUAGUGCUCAAUUUAACAAGGAGGUUGACAAAGAGUCUUCAGCAGCUAAUAAAAAGCAGGAGGAGGAUGUCCUGGCUCCCAAACAGUCAAUAUUGGCGUUUGAGUCAAAUUCUUCGUAAUCGACAUAUUCAACUUUGUUCGUUGAUCCUUGUUUCAAACUUUUUUGGUAGAGCAAUCUUCUAGCGAACCACCGUCCUCAGCCUCACCGGUUGUAGCACCAGAAGAAAUCACAGUAGCCAUUAUACCCUUUAAUUUUAUUCUCCUACUUUACCGGUUCUUUUUUGAAAUAGAAUAAAAGGCAUCCAAAGUGAAAAAUGCUCCUAUUGUGUGGUUCAAGCACUGACUCCGGUUUUCCUUUUCUAAAAAGAAAAUAAUGGUCUAUUGCCCUCAAUUUUUUGUUUAAUUUAUGCUCAAUCCUUAUACUCUUCCAACUUUUGAAAAUUAAUCCCAAUACUUUUAAUUCUAAGAA